rnacentral:tRNA from 1 species
UGCAAGGUGGAGAAGCGGAGUAACUCAUCAGGCUCAUGCCCUGAAGAACGUAGGUUCAAAUCCUGCCCUUGCUA